rnacentral:rRNA from 1 species
AGACGUCUACAUUAGAUACCCCUGUAGUCCCAGCCGUAAACUAUGCGCGUUAGGUGUAUCGGUGACCACGAGUCACCGAGGUGCCGAAGGGAAACCGUGAAACGUGCCGCCUGGGAAGUACGGUCGCAAGGCUAGAAACUUAAAGGAAUUGGCGGGGAGCACCACAACGGGUGGAGCCUGCGGUUUAAUUGGACUCAACGCCGGGAAGCUCACCGGAUAGGACAGCAGAAUGAUUGCCGGGCUGAAGACCCUGCAUGACUAGCUG